GCCAGCCCACAUGACUAAGAUCUCGGUGAUUGUCAAUUAAGAUUUUUGAUCUCGAGGUAGAGCGUCAUCCCAAUGUAUAGACUCUCACUAUGUAGUUGUCACAAUAAGAUUUUGCUUCCAUCACGAUAAGCAUAAUAUGAUUAGAAUGAGUUCGUUUGUCACCAGUUCUCGAGACUAUAGACAUGGUGUUCUCACAAUUAGAAAGAUGCGAUAACAAUCAAGCUAUGUAGCCGCACUGAUAGUGAAGUCUAGUAUCCCAAACUAGAUUACCCAGAUAUGCAAUUUCGAGGACGAAAUUUUUAUAA
rnacentral:lncRNA from 1 species